GCACGCAAGGCACGCCUGGCCUGCCCAAUAUACAAGACAAUUUCCAAUGACAUGAAAAUUUUUACGGGGAAAAAUUACUAUUUUUUACUUUUUCGAGUCAAUUUAACAAGAAAAAUAUAGAAUUACAGCUUAGUCCAAUGUAUCGUUUAUAUAGUUACCUAGAGCCUAUAAUGGCCUCCAUGGCGUGGCAAAAUUAAGUAUAGCGUGGACAUUGAAAGAGAAAGGCAAAUAAGACAAAUAAGAGAGAAAGAGAGAGAGAUAUACAAGGUAGCCCCUGUAGUAUGA
rnacentral:misc_RNA from 1 species